rnacentral:misc_RNA from 1 species
AAGAGCAAACUUCUUACCACACAGGUAUGCCUGCACUUGUGAUCAUUAUCUUGUGAUGAUAAACUCACAUAUCUCAGCUACCUCAGUCCAGUUUUCUGUACUAAACCCUUCAUUCUUGUAACUUGAGUGUUUGCUCUGGCAUUCCGUCACUAUCUUCAUUUAUCUCCUUCUCUACUACUCCCUCCCACCUCUAUAUAUAAUAGGGGUUUGCCAUGUAUCUUCUCUAUAGCAAAACACCUGUGCUUGUCCCUCUAUCUUUAGCCUUUCAGCAUCUGGCAUAAAGCCACCUUCCCCUCCCGAGAAUACUCCAUUUAAUAGUGGGAGCGUUUCCCUUUUUUUCUUCUUGUUCUUUUUCUAACAUGCAAAUUAGCUGACAGCCUCACAACUGUCAAUGCUAUGAAAAAAGCAACCAGUACACUCUGUAAAGUGGUUGGCAUUAAGAAGGGCAUCCAGCUGUAGAAACCAUGCCGAAGUUGUCAUUGGAGCUUCACAUGACAUUGUGACUCAUCAGAUUUUGUCAAACUACCCAUCUUAUGCCAGCAUGGAAAGUGGACAUUAUUAUUAUUGUUGUCAGUCAUCGGUCAUCUGUCGAUGUUGCCGAUGAUCUGUCUUAUUGGUUUACCUAACAAUCCUUGGACUACAUUAUCAGCAGUUGUUGUUCACUGUGUGAUGUAAUAAUAUGUUUCAAAUAGUCAGCUUCUCCCUCACUUUCCCAUUUUCGUUGGUGACGGAAUGAAACACCUUUUUGUCUUCAUGAACUUCUAUUAUAUGGAAGAGAAUAACAGUAUCGUUGUCAUAAGUAGAUGCUGCAGCCUGUACUUGUGUAUGUAAUGGAUAGAAUAUAAGAAUAAUACUGGUGUUCUGCAAUAGAUGCAGGUCUAUGUCUCUAUUGUAGAUUUGUAAAAGAUAAAUAUCUAGACCUAUACUGGAGGUGUGUAAUAGAUAUAUAGACCUAUAAUGGAGGGUGUGUAUUAGAUAGGUAUGUAGACCUAUAAUGGAGGAUCUGUAAUAGAGAGAUAAACACACCUGUAUUGGAGGUGUGGAAUAGAUAGGUACAUAGACCUAUAAUGGAGGGUGUGUAACAUAUAUUCAUAUAUAUGUCAUCUGUGCAGUAGAUGUAUAAAAUGGGCUAAUUUAAGUAUUUCUUCAUAAAUUGGAAAAAUAAUGAACAGCCUUAAUCGAAUUUUGAAACUUAUUGGUUUCUUAUCAGGAGUGUGUACAUCUCUCAACCAAUCCCAGUAGACAGAGAUGUAGACUUAUAAUAGGUGUAGACUUACCACACAGCCAUGCUUGCGCCUAUAUAUAAAAGUAAUUAUAUAAACAACAAGAAAACAAAGAAUUAUGUAAUGACUAAUACUUUUUCUGAAGCUUAUGUAUAUUGUUCUAACACCAGGUCAUUAAUAUUGCUCUGCAUAAACAAAAUAUUAAAACAUAAGCUCACACACAAAGAGGCACACAUACACCUGCACAUAGAGAUGGGGGAAAGAGAGAGUGAAUCGUUCAAUGCAUCUUGUUUUGUAAUUUUGGUAUUCUGAAUUCAGUUCGUGCCAGAUUUAACUCUCUGGAUACACAAACAAAUGAAUACAUGAUGAUAAAAUAAAAUAGAAUACGAAACCCAGCAAUAUAUUCUUUUAUCAGUCCACAUGUAACUACAAUGCACUCCAUCACAGAACAAACAAAAAAAUUCUUAGUACUUGGUCAUGUACUUAUUAAAUGUAAGCUAUCCAAUCAGUAACAUUUCCAAAGAAUUACAAUAGAGAGAGGUGAGGAGAGAAGGAGGAUGAGGGAAGGAGAAGGAAGAGGUGAAGACAAGAGAUUGGAUUGGUUGAAUAUGUGAUGUCAUCAACAUUUAAUCUCUGGUUAAUAAAAUAAUUGAUCAGGAGUUGAGAGCUCAAGGAUGAAAGUAAGAAACAGUUAUUUAAUGGAAGGGAAUGUAAUCUGUUAAAUUGACUCUAGUACUUCACAAGUAUUUAUUUUAUUAACCUGUGAAAGAAGGAAGUCAAACUUUAGUCAAAUUUUAGAAGGAAACAGCUGAAAGAUAAAAAUAAAACUAUCAGGAAACCAGGUAGAAGUUGCUGGAACUGAACAAGAACAAAGUACAAAAGUUGUGGUCAAGGAACUUGAGAGCAACAAGAGGAAAAUUGAACGAAUUUACCUGGAAUUGUAAGAGCAAUUAAUAAGAAAGAGCCAAUAUCAGCA